GCCGGGAUGGCGGAAUUGGUUUACGCGCAUCACUUAAGAUGAUGUGACCGAAAGGUCGUGAGGGUUCGAGUCCCUCUCCCGGCA
rnacentral:tRNA from 1 species